rnacentral:rRNA from 2 species
GUAAGCAACCUACCCUAAAGACGAGGAUAACCAUUGGAAACAGUGGCUAAGACUGGAUAGGAAGAUAAAAGGCAUCUUGUAUCUUUUAAAAGACCUAGUUAAUAGGUAUGCUUUAGGAGGGGCUUGCGCCAUAUUAGUUAGUUGGUAGGGUAAUGGCCUACCAAGACGAUGAUGUGUAGCUGGACUGAGAGGUUGAACAGCCACAUUGGGACUGAGACACGGCCCAAACUCCUACGGGAGGCAGCAGUAGGGAAUUUUCGGCAAUGGAGGAAACUCUGACCGAGCAACGCCGCGUGAAUGACGAAGUACUUCGGUAUGUAAAGUUCUUUUAUCGAGGAAGAAAAGCAAAUGGCGAACCAUUUGUUUGCCGGUACUUGAUGAAUAAGCCCCGGCUAAUUAUGUGCCAGCAGCCGCGGUAAGACAUAAGGGGCAAGUGUUAUCCGGAAUUAUUGGGCGUAAAGGGUGCGUAGGCGGUCUAGUAAGUCAGUGGUGUAAUGGCAACGCUUAACGUUGUCCGGCUAUUGAAACUGCUAAACUUGAGUUAGAUAGAGGCGAGUGGAAUUCCAUGUGUAGCGGUAAAAUGCGUAAAUAUAUGGAGGAACACCAGAGGCGUAGGCGGCUCGCUGGGUCUUAACUGACGCUGAGGCACGAAAGCGUGGGGAGCAAACAGGAUUAGAUACCCUGGUAGUCCACGCCGUAAACGAUGAGUACUAAGUGUCGGGUUAAACCGGUACUGAAGUUAACACAUUAAGUACUCCGCCUGAGUAGUACGUACGCAAGUAUGAAACUUAAAGGAAUUGACGGGACUCCGCACAAGCGGUGGAUCAUGUUGUUUAAUUCGAAGAUACCCGAAAAACCUUACCAGGUCUUGACAUGUUUUUGCAAAAUGAUAGUAAUAUCGUGGAGGUUACCAGAAACACAGGUGGUGCAUGGUUGUCGUCAGCUCGUGUCGUGAGAUGUUAGGUUAAGUCCUAAAACGAGCGAAACCCUUAUCGUUAGUUGCCAGCACGUUAUGGUGGGGACUUUAACGAGACUGCCAAUGAUAAAUUGGAGGAAGGUGAGGAUCACGUCAAAUCAGCAUGCCCCUUAUGACCUGGGCUACAAACGUGAUACAAUGGCUGUUACAAAGGGUAGCUGAAACGCAAGUUCUUGGCCAAUCCCCAAAAACAGUCCCAGUCCGGAUUGAAGUCUGCAACUCGACUUCAUGAAGUUGGAAUCGCUAGUAAUCGCGAAUCAGCAUGUCGCGGUGAAUACGUUCUCGGGGUUUGUACACACCGCCCGUCAAACCACGAAAGUUGGCAAUACCCCAAAACGGUAGCCUAACUCGUUU